CUGACAAGUGACAAACUUUGCUAAGACUGAGGACUGAGGCUAAGACCUUGCUUGAUAACAACUGGAAACUGUCAACCUCAACUGACAACUUACAAACUCAAUGGUGAAUCGUGAUUGGUGAGCGAGUAUUGUAACUUGUGAGUGAACCCCCGUGAAAGCGAACGUGCGGAGCAACAUGGCCGUGAAAAUAGGACCAAGAUCCUCAAAUAAAGAAAAAAAAGCUUACUUCGUAUUAAAAUUUUCUAAAAUCAGUUCAGUGGUUUAGUCGUGUACGCGUAACAGAGUUACUUUGGGAGUUAUCAAUAAUAUAAGUAUAGAUCAUUAUUAAUAACAAAUAUUAUAAUUGUUUGAUUGAUUGCUUCAAAAUUAAAUAGUAACUUAAAAACUGAA